rnacentral:lncRNA from 1 species
AGGCUGAUGCUGGCAAGGAUCUUUCAAAGUGGGGUCAUGCCGAGGCAUGUCUUGAAUUAAGUGCUCGAUGAAGCAAGGAGUCCUGACAUCGUGUGCUGCCGUAGUUAUUUAGGAGGUCGCAACAUAGAUAGAUGAUUGGAUGUGCACACUUAUGGGAGAUGUGCACACUUAUGGGAGACGUGCACUUACCUCCUUUUUCUGAGAAGGCAUCAUGGCAUGAGGGCUUUCAGGCAUGGUGAUUG